ensembl:lncRNA
CCCAGGUGCUAAUUCUUCAGUUGUAGUAGUAGGUAGGUAUGUGUGUUUAUUUUGUUCAUUAGGGAACUCCUUCCACCAUCAGGUGAACAUCAGGAGUCAGGACAAAUGAUGACUUUGUUGGGAGUUUAGCUCCCAGUAGGAGAAACAAUAGGCAGAUGCUGAGAUGGGAGUGAAUUAGGGACGAGGAUAGAUUUCAAAGGGGAUGCAGAGGUUGAAAGGUGAUGGCGACUCAUGGUCGAGGAGGGAGUGAGCAGACCUCCCUAAACCAACGACUGAUAAGAGGAGGAAUCCUGGGGAAGUGUCGGAGCCAUAAAAUCCAUCCACAGGUUGUAUUUCAUCUCAGAGUCACCCAACAGGUUUAAGAAUCACACACGGUUGGUAUGGGGGGAAUUAUUUCACUAUGAUAAAUUUACUGGCACAUUUUUCCUCGAAUACAUGUGCAUGGCAAUUGUUAACUAUGUUUUGCUUUUCAGUAGGAGCAGGCGACUCCAAUGCGAGACGGUCCAGAUCGGCAACGACACCCAGUAGAAACGGCGUUGUGGGGGUUUUACGACGUUGUUGGAUAAGCCAGGAGGUGGCCUGGGGGUGAUUAGCAUCACCAAAGGCUAUGUGAAGGGAUGCUUUUACACCUACCUCAACAUGAGGGACUGGGGGAGAACAGAAUACAACUAGAGUAUCUGCCGAUUUGGGAACAUUAUUGUAUGCAGUGAAAAACACAAUCAUAAGAUUCUAAACAACAGAGUUGUGUAGAUGACAUUGAUUUAAGGUGUUAAGAAGAACAUACAGUCAUUCUAUCAAUGAAACAACUCACAAAUUGAUUAGAAUGUUUUUAGGAAAACACUAGAUGUUAGAGUCUAGCUACUCAAGUGGCAUUUUUGGGAUAACAGCAGACGAUGGCCAAUGCAGGUAGAUCCAACAUGACUUUUCUUCCUGGAACGAAUGUGCAAUGACAUUGCUCUUCUCAUACACUGACACAAGGACUGAUGAGACACACAGAUGAUACAAUUACUCCACAUUAAAAGAAAUAGCUAAAACUGGGAAAUAAGUGAGUGAAAUGUUGAGUUCCAGUUAUGUUUAAAUAUGCACACACUAGAUGGUAGAACUUGUUGGCUUGAAGAGUUUGGUAAACCAGAAGAAAGAGCAACAUGAAUUGGGAGAACACACACACACACACUCACACGCACAUCUAGACACACCUACACACACGAGCACACAUAGCUGCACCGCUUGUGCUUCUCUAUUCAACAGCCGAUUGGGGAAUCUUGUCCUAAUGGGACCUCCGGUUAGCAGAGUAGUCUGCUCUCAGGAACUGAGGUGAUCCGAGGUCCAAGGAGGGAGCGUGAAGCUUAAUCACACGUCUAGGAUGACAGCUACGUGUCAUCUGACCAAACCGCUGACAACAACAGAUGUUCCAGCAGAGGAACAUCAAGGAGGAGAAAGAAGUCCACCAUUUCAUAGAAUUGUGCCUAUUCAGAUAACUACAGCAUUGUCUCGGUUGAAAGGCAUAUAUCAUAGUAAGAAUUGAAAAUAAGAAUUGUUUUUAGGAGGCUGGGAGUUCUUGUAUGUGUUGUUUCUAUUUCACUCCAAACAGAGCUGAGAUCAUUAUUCAAUGCAGGUGGAUCCACACGACAACAAGUGGAGAGAUGGUGUCCAUUUAUGGAGGGAGAGUAAACUAUGAAGGGCAGGGUCUCAACAAUUGACCCACUGGUUAUGUUCUCCUCCUCAACAUGUGUUUUCAACUCGAAGCAUCACUGUGGCACCGCCACAUAUAGAGCGGCUAUUCUGUUUGAUGAUGUUAUCCCUCCCGAAACAAACAGGGAUGGGAGCAUCACUUGAAAGACACAUCCCGAGCUGCCCCUGGGGGUGGGGUGAAUAUAUGUCCUAUAGUGUUUUUUUCUUUAGUUUCAGAUACCCUGUCCCUAUAUAAUGUGUUGAUACGUGUUGAACUUUAAGCGACUGAGACCAGAUUCACUAAGAGAUCCAGGGGGACAUCUUCAGGAGGGUUUCCAACAGCAGCCAUGUGGGAGAAAGAUUGAAUAAGGAAUUAUGUGUUACAAACUACACUGAUUCCUCAGGGGAAACUCACGGUUUACCUAUGACACUGAUGCGGUUAACAGUAGACACAGUUACUGGUAGUUAAGAUCACAUCACCAGGAAUAAAGACCACCAGAGAAAGCCUUAAGAAGAA